rnacentral:rRNA from 1 species
UGAUACUUAUAGCGUAGUGGAACCACUCCAAUCCAUCCCGAACUUGGUUGUUAAACACUACAGCGGCGAUAAUACUGAUAGGGAAGCCUUUUGGAAAGGUAGCUCAG